GACGAACGCUGGCGGCGUGCCUAAUACAUGCAAGUCGAACGGAGUGGCGAACGGGUGCGUAAUGUAUCGGAACGUGCCCAGUAGCGGGGGAUAACUACGCGAAAGCGUAGCUGAUACCGCAUACUAUUGGAGCGGCCGAUAUCGGAUUAGCUAGUUGGGGGGGUAACGGCUCACAAAGGCGAAGAUCAGGAGCUGGUUUGAGAGGGAGACCAGCCACACUGGGACUGAGACACGGCCCAGACUCCUACGGGAGGCAGCAGUGGGGAAUGUUGGACAAUGGGGGAAAGCCUGAUCCAGCCAUCCCGCGUGUGGGAUGAAGGCCUUCGGGUUGUAAAGCACUUUUGGCAGGAAAGCGGUACCUGCAGAAUAAGCACCGGCUAACUACGUGCCAGCAGCCGCGGUAAUAC
rnacentral:rRNA from 1 species